GUCCCUGGUAAGUGUCGUUGCUAUUUUUGUUACUAAAUGAUAAGAAGUCCUACCACUGAAAGGAUAGGAAACAGAAGGAAGAGGGUAGAAAUGAGCAAUUGCAACUAGAAGGGCCUGUGUGCCCACAACGGGGAUGAGGAGGAGUCUCAUAGAGCAGCCCUUAGGAUUCUAAUCCUGUCCUCUAUAUAGUGAUGGUUCUGUUGUUCCACCAUCAGGAACACUGGCAAAAGGUGCUUUCUCAGCUCCCUUUGAGACUAAUCUGAACACUUCGUGAGGAAACCAUGUCCAUCAAGUAUUCCCAGAGCUUCUGACUACUGUAUCAAGCUUCUGACGGCACCUGGAACCUUCUGACUGCUUCUGACUGCUCAGCCCCUCGGGAGGAGCUCUGCCAGUUCAAGACCCUCACCUGACCCUCUUCUCCGACCCAGGCCUUAGUCUCAGCUAUCUGGGGCUAGCAGGCAGGUUGGCCUUCACCACUGAGGCCCCUGGUAAAUUUCUUCAGAUAAACCCCCAUUUAAUUUUUUUUUUCUUGUUACCUGCCUCCCCCCGCCCCACAACCCCCAGCCCACCCCUCCUCCCUGCCACAAGAUGUCAGGAACAGAGAAAGGUAAUAUUACAAAAUUUAUUUGAAAGAAAACCUCCUAAGUAUUUUCUUAGCUUUGCAAAUAUUUCAAGAAUGUCUGUGUCGUCAAGAGUGUGAAGAAAGUCUCAUUGGACAUCCGUCAGCGUAACUGAAAAAAUAAAUCAAUCUCUGAUGGGGGAGUGUGAGAAAUAGUGUAUGAAGAAAAGGCAGGGCUUUGCUUUUUGUAAUAAACAACGCUGGCGUGCA